CCAGGCUCAGCAGGUAGGUGCCGUAGCCGCUCUUCGUGAGCGGCCCGGCGAGGGUGCGGAGCCGGUCGUCGUCGAUCCACCCGGCGCGCCAGGC
rnacentral:tRNA from 1 species